rnacentral:lncRNA from 1 species
UGAUGAUUUACAAUGAAGGCAAGCACCUCUAUUUAUAGCAAAAAAUGGUGAGGGUUUUUUGUGGAAAUUCCCGUGUGAAUAAGGAAGUUUCUCAUGGCGGCUAUGGUUGGCUUGUUCAACCAUUGUGGGCUGCCCGUGUGAAUAAGGAAGCUUCUCCUGGCGGCUAUAGUUGGCUGUUCAACCAUUGUGGGCUGCCCGUGUGAAUAAGGAAGCUUCCCAUGGCGGCUAUGGUUUGAACAUCUAGAAGUACGGCUGGAAGCAUAAAAAAUGAUAAUCAAAACUCAGCCUCAAUAUUUGUAAGUGAAAUACUUAUGGCCAAACCCCAGUAUGCUCGGGGAAAAGCUAAAAAUUUUGUGCACGGUUGAUGAUAUUUAAUUCCUUAAUUCAAUUCAACCAACAUUUAGCAAGACAUAACAAAUUUCAUCAGGCAAACCACAAUAUUAGCGCUUAAUAAUCACUAUUAAGAGUUACACACAGAGUAUAUUUUAAUCAUAUACUCUAUUCGUUUCAAUUUAAAUAACAUACUUUUUUUAUUAGUCUGUUUAAAAAAGAAUAACACAUUUCUAUAUUUAAAAACAAUUUAAUUUUGAAUUUUGAAUUUUAUCGAAUUUACACUUAAUGAAAAUUUUUUAUAAUUAUACAAAUAUUAUGGCCUAGUAAGUUUUAUAACUAAAUAUUUCAAAAAUCUUCUUUUUUUUUUAAAUUUUGUAUCAAACCAAACUAAGUAAAUUAAAUAAAAAGGGAGAGAGUAUACUACUACUAAACGCAAAAGCACAAAUUACCUCCACCAUUAUGACACGCCAAGUGUUCGACAUAUUUCCACGCGCAAAUUAAAUUGAAAUGAUGUUUUAAAAAGAAAGAUGUUUGACAAAGAAUUAAGUCAGUGUGAUGAUCUCUUGUCUUGGUUCAUGACUUAGGGGAGGAUAAGAGAUCCGUAUAAUGGACAAGCAAUAUAUGCCAAUAAGA